GCCCGGCACCGCCUUCUCGCGAUUGGCUCUGCCUCCUGCCCAUCAGCGUCGUGGCUAACGUAGCAACCCGGCACGGGAGCAGGCGGGGGCGGGCUCGUUACCCAGUGGGCCCCGCAGUGGCCGAGCGAGGCCGGGGUCUGGGCCCCGACCCGGAAGCACUAGUGGCUGAUGCCGGCUCCGGGCACCCUUUAGGGCCCGGACUGCUCCGGCGUGGCGGUUCGGUCUUCGCAAAGGGCCGGGAGCUCAUGAAGCUUCCACCGCUGCCCCAGGCUUCCUGGGGGUCUGGCAGGGUCCGGCGGGCGCCCCCUGUUCCAGGGGCCCGUAAGGGGGUGGCGGCUCUGCCUCUGCCGGGAUUGCGCCCUGCGGGCCACUGGAGCAGGGAGGGCUUGGUUGGAGGCGUCGAAGGUCUCGGAGGCCCCCGGCCUGAAAGCAUUGACGCACCCGCUGGCUGGCAGGUCCGGGAUGUCUCCUCUUUGCAGGCUACAGCAGCACACUGUCCAUGAAAGGAAUAAUUUCCUCAUCCAGAAACCCCAGGAAAGAGCUUCUCAUUGGGCCUUCUUGGAUUACCUGUCCAUUUCCUGAACAGCUAGAGGAGAGGGAAGAGCUGAUGGCUCUAGCCAGUCAGAGCCAGGCUCUGGUCCUUGGCCUGCAUGAAAGGAAAACUGGGUCCUGUGGCUGGAGGGGGCGUGGGUGCCAGGAGCAGCCCACAGUUGUCUGUCACAUCCCCAUCUUUCUUUACCGAGAUGAACAAAGAGAAGGCCGCUCCUCCACAUCAGUGCAUUCUGCACAGAACUUGGUCCCCACACCAGAGGACCCUCUGUAUUCUCUACCCUGUUGUCUGUGGAUGAACUGUGUAGUCAGCCACUGCAGUGGUUGUGGCAAAACAGGACUCAGCCCCGGGCCUCCAAAUGCUUACAGUUCAGUGGCCAUCAUUAGACACCGUGACAAGGGCCAGGAGGAGGGGCCUCUUAGGAAGCCAGUGCAGUAUUUGGAGCCAGAAGAGAUGUUGGCCUGUGGCGAGGAUGGAGGAAAGUGGACAGUUGGAGGUGGGUGUUGGGUCCAAAGAAGUAAUUUCUUCCAGGGGACUGCUGGCAAAGGACGGAGGAGGGCAUCGCCAUAAGACUCAGCAUGGGAGUUUUGGAGCAGGGCCAGGUGGGCAUUGCCAGGUAAGUGCAGGAGUCAGACAGCGACCCUGGGCCUAAAGAGCUCUCCUGGGCCGAGGGUGUGAGGAAUGGUGAGGUAAGAACCCUGGUUGGCAGCAAGCAGAGGAAAGGGAGUGUGUGGCCUUUGGGGUCCAGGACUGACAGUAUCCCUUGGGUUUUGGUACUAGGAGAUGGCUCGUGAGAGCUAUCAGGUGAGCCCGAUAGCAGACCAGAUAGGAGGUGGGAGCUACAGGGGCUCAAAAUGCAGAAGAGCGAGGCCGAGGGCAGAACUAGCUCCCAGAGACAGCAAGGGGAGGCCCUGGCCCCAUGCAAUGGAUAGUGGGGAUACAAGUGGCAGUGCUGAGAAGUUACUUCUGGACUUGACUCUGUUAUUAAUGAAGUCAGGUAUCUGGGAGAGGGACUGGAACCCUACAUUAAGGCUUCCCAAGUAAUCUGAUGGUCAUCCUACUUGUGGGGGCUCAGGUGAGACUGGGACCAAGAGACUGGGACCCCGCCUGCUGCCUGCUGGGCUGGAAGACAGCAGGAAGCCUGGUGCUCAGAGUGGCUGAAGAGCUGACCCGUGGAGUCCCUGCUGGAAACAGGCGGGAUGGGCAGGGCCAGAGAUCACAGGCCUGGCGCACCCUACCCCCUACUUGCAGGAGGAUCUAAGGUUCCUAGAGGCGCACGUUCAGUUGACCCCCUCUCACCCUGGCAGCCUCGCUCACCACAUCACAGGCACCCAGGCAGGUGCACCUGCAGUGUGUUUGCUGACGCCAAAGAACACAGCUCAAAAAGCUGAACACCACACAAGCUUUAUUUACACGAUCCAUGUGAGAUAUUUCUGAACCUGUGCCAAUGAGAAGACAGGCCUUUUCUCUCAGGGCUGUUAACUGAAGUGUAAAGGAACACAAACACAAGUCAGACUUACACUGCUCACAAAUACUUCUUAGCCCCUAUUUUAGUAUAAUCAUCACAGCAGGGAAAAGCCUUUCCCUAAGAUGCUCAGCUGCAAAGGACAGUUGGUGUCGGCGUCCUCCUUCAGUGGUGAUGUGCCACCCUGGAAAAAAUGCCUUCUGGCUCCUUCCCAUCCCCCAAGGCAGCAGCAAAUCCUUCCUGUCGCCUCCUUUUGGCCAAAGAAGCCAAAGAUUUAAAAGUCUUUGGUUCGUAGAUGGCUAGGUCUGCGAGUACUUUCCUGUUGAGCUCCACCCGGCACUGGAAAGAGAACCAGAGUCUGUUUCAGCAUCAAAAAUGCAUUUCAGUGAAACAUAAUUAGACUCGGAACACAGCUGAGCAUCCUACGAUUUGAAUCACCUCAGCAAAUUAUCACGUGAGCAUCAGAGGGGGAGGGGAGUGGUGAAGCAGGACCCUGGAGGGUCAGUGUGGACAGGGGUGGGGUGGGGGCAUUGCUCCUGGUGCCAGCCAUGGAACCAAGGGCCUUCUUUGGAGAUUUCUGGCCAGGGGUGACCCUUUAAGUCAGCUGGGAAGAGGAAACCGCAAUUCCCAUUUUACAAAUGAUGAAAAAUGAGACACAGAAGAGGCACAAGCAGAGGAUCCAGGAUCAGAACCAAGCAUUCCUGAUUUCCACAAGAGAGCCAGACUACCAAGUAAACAUCAGAAAACGGAUGGACAGUGCCAGGGAGCCUGAAGUGCAGAAAAAGGAGGGGAGGGUCUCCUGGCACUGAAUGCAGCUACGCAGGAGGAGUGGAUCCUGUUCUACUACAUGGGACCCAUGGGCCUUGGGCAAAGUCCCUCUCCUUUCUGAGCCUCAGCUCCCCUCAGUCAAAUGGAAGUGUCACACUCACACUUACCCUGAGGAUCUCUGUGAAGUGCCAGAGACAGGGUCUGGUAUAAGGCAGAAGCAUGACACCCACUCCCCCAGCUUUCUGGGAAAUAAUUUAAGUGCACACAAAAGCAGAGAAAAUAGGAUAAUCACCAGAUGCAGAGAUUUUGUGACACGUGCUUCAUCUCUCCCCUCCAAGAUGUUUCCCCUCCUUUUUGAUUAUGAGUUUCAACUUGAUCUGCUACCUCAUCAGAAUUCAUUCAGUGUAAAAACUUUGAAAUUAAACUUUAAAGUUAAAGUCAA